rnacentral:rRNA from 1 species
UACGAAGGGGGCUAGCGUUGUUCGGAUUUACUGGGCGUAAAGCGCACGUAGGCGGACUUUUAAGUCAGGGGUGAAAUCCCGGGGCUCAACCCCGGAACUGCCUUUGAUACUGGAAGUCUUGAGUAUGGUAGAGGUGAGUGGAAUUCCGAGUGUAGAGGUGAAAUUCGUAGAUAUUCGGAAGAACACCAGUGGCGAAGGCGACUCGCUGGACAGGUAUUGACGCUGAGGUGCGAAAGCGUGGGGAGCAAACAGGAUUAGAUACCCCUGUAGUCC